ACAUUCGAUCCCAUGAGAGCCAAUUCAUCCCUCUCCCAUCUUCACGACAACCACCCCACCAAAAUUUAUUCAUCAUGACCUGUAGUUGACGGCAAGUGGAAACAGGUAAUAAAAAAAACAUUCAUGCAAUAUGUUGGAAUUGCCUGUAAUACAUAUUUAAUUAAUACUUCUCUGCCUGCACAAGAAAGAAAACGAUUACUCCAACUACUAAUACGUUUCCAAAUGUGAUCCCUCAAGAAAGAGAAAAUUUGCUUUUUACUACGGCCAAUAAGAGAUGGUAACCCCAAAUAAUUACCGCUACCCAAAGGAAGAUGAACAUCAAGUAUACCAGAGAUGGUCAACCGGUUUUCCUCAGACACACACGAACUAAACAUGAUACCAGAUUUAUCAAAAUUUACAGCCUGACCUGAAGCUUUCUCAUAAACACCAAGAAUUUGCUUAAUCCGUAUAGCUUC
rnacentral:lncRNA from 1 species